GAUGAACGCUAGCGGCAGGCCUAAUACAUGCAAGUCGAACGGUGUCUUCGGACAUAGUGGCGCACGGGUGCGUAACACGUAUGCAACCUACCUUACAUUGGGGGAUAGCCUUUCGAAAGGGAGAUUAAUACCGCAUAAGACAGUAGCUGGGCAUCCAGCAGCUGUUAAAGAUUUAUCGAUGUAAGCUGGGCAUGCGUCCAAUUAGCUAGUUGGUGAGGUAACGGCUCACCAAGGCAAUGAUUGGUAGGGGAACUGAGAGGUCAAUCCCCCACACUGACACUGAGAUACGGGCCAGACUCCUACGGGAGGCAGCAGUAGGGGAUAUUGGGCAAUGGACGCAAGUCUGACCCAGCCAUGCCGCGUGCAGGAAGAAGGCGUUCUGCGUUGUAAACUGCUUUUAUAUAGGAAGAAACGACCCUUGCGAGGGGCAUUGACGGUAUUAUAUGAAUAAGCACCGGCUAACUCCGUGCCAGCAGCCGCGGUAAAAC
rnacentral:rRNA from 1 species